rnacentral:rRNA from 1 species
AAAUUGAAGAGUUUGAUCAUGGCUCAGAUUGAACGCUGGCGGCAGGCCUAACACAUGCAAGUCGAACGGUAGCACAGAGAGCUUGCUCUCGGGUGACGAGUGGCGGACGGGUGAGUAAUGUCUGGGAAACUGCCCGAUGGAGGGGGAUAACUACUGGAAACGGUAGCUAAUACCGCAUAACGUCGCAAGACCAAAGUGGGGGACCUUCGGGCCUCACACCAUCGGAUGUGCCCAGAUGGGAUUAGCUAGUAGGUGGGGUAACGGCUCACCUAGGCGACGAUCCCUAGCUGGUCUGAGAGGAUGACCAGCCACACUGGAACUGAGACACGGUCCAGACUCCUACGGGAGGCAGCAGUGGGGAAUAUUGCACAAUGGGCGCAAGCCUGAUGCAGCCAUGCCGCGUGUAUGAAGAAGGCCUUCGGGUUGUAAAGUACUUUCAGCGAGGAGGAAGGCGUUGUGGUUAAUAACCACAGCGAUUGACGUUACUCGCAGAAGAAGCACCGGCUAACUCCGUGCCAGCAGCCGCGGUAAUACGGAGGGUGCAAGCGUUAAUCGGAAUUACUGGGCGUAAAGCGCACGCAGGCGGUUUGUUAAGUCAGAUGUGAAAUCCCCGGGCUCAACCUGGGAACUGCAUUUGAAACUGGCAAGCUUGAGUCUCGUAGAGGGGGGUAGAAUUCC